CAGAAGAUAGUUUAAAUAAAAUAUUAAUUUUGGAGAUUAAUGAUAGGAGUAAUUUCUUUCUUCUGA
rnacentral:tRNA from 1 species